AAAAGCAGCCUGAAAACCAGUAGAUCCAUCUGUCCUGGGAUUGUGCCUUGCAAAAGCUUUGAUAUGCGUUUAGGCCCACAUGGAGUGACUCGGCAGUGGUCUCUGUAGAGAACCACAAGAGUACAGUCAUGUGCUGAUGUGCUGGACCUCGCAGGCCAAAGGACAAGACACCCAAGCGUUUGAACAGGAUCAUUUCUUGAGGUGGUUCUCUUUGUAGUCAUGUCUCUACUUGCAUAUUGUCUGGGAGAGGGGAAUAUCCUUCUUUCCCUCCCCUAUCAGCUCCGUUUCUAUUGGCAAGGGUCACUGUCAGACUAAUGGAAAGAGUUCCUCGUUAGAACUUUGAAGUUCAUACUAGAUGCUAUUGGGGUGGUGAAAUAGGCUUCCUCUCCCUGCAGGACAAAGGGUAAUUUCUGUAAAGUUGCUUACCUGUGGGAAACAGGCCUGUGGUGGAAGCUGGUAGUGACCAUUGCCAGUUUUCAGUAAGGCAUUUAGAGCGAUCUGAGUAGUGUCCUCUGGCCCCAUUAUGGCCCUGUGUGUGUCCUGCGAAGCUGAGAUGCUGUUGGUAUCUAUGUGGGAUGCUAUGUUGUAUACAGCAUUGAAAACAUGAUGCUUCUGUAUGUAGUGGUGCCUGCUCUAAAUAAAACAGGGCAGCCUGCCCUCGGAAAUAGGUUAAUUCCUCUCCUCUUUCUUCUUCACACAGGCACUGGCUCGCUCUGUUGCUGUCACUAGGACUUCAUCCUGUUAAUGCAUGUGCAGGGCGAUAAUCGAGCUGCAAAAGUCAUGGUCAGGGAGAACAGACUGUACUAGUUAGGUACGCGAGGUGAUGCAUAAUGUGGCCCAUCUAACCAGAAGUGGCAGCUGGAAGUUCUAAGGCUCAAGUGCUACCAUAACAGAUGGGCAUCAUUGUUUGGAAUGGCCUCUGCUUGUUGCAACUGUGUAGACUGGUUAUCAGUCAACGUAUUAAGCAGGGCUGAAAUGCCGUCCUGCAAUAAUGGUCACAAAUAUGCCCAUAUGCUGAUUCCUACUCCGGAUAAAGAUGAUGAUCCAGUUGGUAUUGACUACUCCCACUUUAUACAUCUCAGUGUUGUCCCAACCAGGGCUUCGCCGUUACCAGUUCUAGGCUGGGCAAACAGAGAGGAUGUAUGGAAAAACAUGAUAAACAAGGAAGAAACCUAUGUGAGGGAUAAACUCUAUAUGCAAAGGCACCCUCUCCUGCAACCUAAAAUGAGAACAAUCCUCCUAGACUGGCUGAUGGAGGUUUGUGAAGUCUACAAGCUUCAUAGAGAAACUUUUUAUUUAGCGCAAGAUUUCUUUGAUCGGUUUAUGGCCACACAACAGAAUGUUGUAAAAACACUAUUGCAGCUUAUUGGCAUCUCGUCUUUAUUCAUAGCAGCAAAGCUUGAGGAAAUUUAUCCACCAAAAUUGCACCAGUUUGCCUAUGUUACAGAUGGAGCUUGUACAGAAGAUGAGAUCCUCAGUAUGGAACUGAUCAUUAUGAAGGCUCUUAACUGGAACCUAAAUCCACUGACAGUCGUAUCAUGGCUAAACAUUUACAUGCAAGUUGCAUAUUUAAAUGAGCUUUAUGAGGUAUUGCUGCCACAAUAUCCACAGCAAAUAUUUGUACAAAUAGCAGAGCUCUUGGAUCUCUGUGUGCUGGAUAUAGGCUGCUUGGAAUAUACGUAUGGAAUACUUGCAGCUUCUGCUUUGUAUCAUUUCUCCUCAUCAGAGUUGAUGCAGAAAGUUUCAGGUUACAAAUGGUGUGAGAUAGAAGAAUGUGUGAAAUGGAUGGUUCCAUUUGCGAUGGCUCUAAGGGAAGUAGGAAGCUCGAAACUCAAACACUUUAGAGGUAUAGCUCCUGAAGACUUGCACAAUAUACAGACGCACAUAAACAGCUUGGAUUUGCUGGACAAAGCUCAAGCAAAACAAGCCAUAUUGGCUGAGCAAAAUAGGACUUCACCUUUCCCCAGUGGUGUCCUUACACCACCACAAAGCAGUAAGAAGCAGCCUUCUGCUCUGAAGCCGAUAUGACUGCAGAAACUGCCAACGGACCACUUUGAAGUGCCUGUUCUGGUUCCAACCCCAGCUUCAUUAUGGAAAUGCUGCUGGUGAAGUUCAUAAGCUUUCAUGGAAUCUAAAAGGAAACCUUACUUUUUUUCGUGACAGAAGAUUUUUUUCUAUUUGAAAUAUUUUUAUUGAACAUUAAAGUAUUUUAAAGGAAUGGAUCAAGUAUACCAGCCACUGAGAAGAACACGGAAGAGUGCUCCCGAUGCUGCUAUGGAGGGUGAUACUUGAUGUGACCAGCUGUUCAGGAAAAGGGCUUGAAGUUCAGAUUAGUUGCUCCUUUGGAUAACUGGCAGUUGUGCUGUCCCCUGUUGACAAACGAGCAAAAAGUGCUGUGGAAAACAAUUUCAAAGCCUCUUUUUCAAACAGUUGGCUUACAACUUGACACCUUUUUAGAAACUCUUUAUUGUUCUCUGGCUACACCUAUGGAUUCUUCUGUCUGUUGGGAUUGUGCUGUAUUGCUAGGAUAGCUUGAAAAACUUGUGUGCUGGCUGCCACAGACGGAAGACAGUUUUAGGGAGGAGUUGUGCAGGAGCUGCUUGUCUGAAGUACCAGCAGGUGGAGUCCAUCGGAGGACAGGAGAGUCUGGCAGGAGCCAGAGAAACUCGAUUUUGUAAGCAAGCGCUGACUGAAAACCUUUGCCAUGUGAGAUGCAGUCUGGAAACCUUUACUAAAGGACUUGGGCGAUACUGAAGCAUCGACCUUUGUGGAAAGCAGCUUUGCUCAGAGCCUGGAUCCUGCAAACACAGAUAGCAGCUAAAGGGUUAUUGCUUCUCCCCGACGUCGCCUGUGGAUUUUCUCAGCCUGCUCUCACUGAAUUUGGUCCUUAGCUCAUGAUGUCUCUACCAGGCAUUAUCAGCCCAUACAUCUGCAGUCUGGAGAAGUUUGCUGUGUCCCAAGGCAGAUGUCACUCAGCUCACAGUGUGUGUGGUGUGCUGUGGGGCUUCCUGAGCUGGUGCUGGUGCAGCUCUCCAGCCCUCGUAGCAGUGCAGCCAGUGAGCACUGACACCACCUGCAGCGAAUCCAGGCGCCUUCCCAGAAGAUGUCAUCAUCAUUAGGAAUAAGAGGAGUUAGUGACACCAAGCCUGCUACAUAAGGCAGUUUGAGAAGAGCCUCCCCUCACCCACCCUCCUGCAAAUCUCCACCUCCGAUGGAACUGGGCUUUUCCAGUCAUUUCAGGUAAUGCGUGUAGCAUGGCAGCUCGCUCCAGCGCGUGGCAGUAUUCUCAAAGUAUUGUCCACCAGCUUCUGAUUUAAUUUCAGAUGAUCUUAGUCCAGGCGAAAAAAUGCAGCCUAUGCCAAUCAAGAAAUGUAGAGCAUGCAGCAAGUACAGUUCAAAAACUGCAUUACCCUUAUCUAUUAGUAAUGAUCAAUUAGCAUGAAGGUCAGUGGGCAGCUUGGAAAUGAGUCAGAUAAGAAGGGCAAAAGGAGGGUUUGAAUGGAAAGGAAAUUCUUGAUUCAUACUCAGUGUUUAAAGUCAUAACUCUGUAACAGCGGGGGCGGAGGGUAACGUUAAGUAGUCCGGCUGUCACACUGACUCAACCAGAGUGUAAAUUAUGGUGCAGAGAGUGUUGUGAAGAGUUGUGUGAUGGAAUGAUAUAGUCUUGCUUGUUUUUUCAAGUUUACGUAUCCCAGGUUUUCACCGUUGCUGUGGAGUAGGGGGUGGAUGGGUGAACAUAAAUCUGUCACUUCUGUGUGUGUGAAGUUUAUUUCUCCCAUGCAUACAUCCAUACGCACACGCAUCGAGGCUUAAGAGAACACUUUGCUUCCUUCCGCACUGGGUAUGUGAAGGAUCACACAGGCACUGCGCUUCCAGGUUCUGUCUCUGAAAUACGGUAUGUUCUGGCCUGCAAGCUUAAAACAUCCGGAUGAAACGAUGUUUUAAAGCAUCAGAGUGGAACACGCAGGGUUUCUUCUCUGUUCUCUGGAGGCUAAUUAAUCCCCUUAUGAUAGAGAUGGUAGUGAAAUAGGUGUUCUUGGUACCAAGGAGCUGCACUGCCCGUUGAAGAUGAUGAAACAUAAGUACAGAAGAGAAUUGGUAGGGGCAGGGUAAAACCAGUGAUCCCGCCUCUAACAGUUUACUUUGAUGAAUGCACUCAUUCACUCAGCUUCCCCAUUUGGAUCCUGCAUAAUCAGAGAUAAUGGGUGGAUGGUUUGCAUGAAUAACUAAGUUUGUCGUGUUUAAUUUUCUUUAAAAAAAGAAAGAGCAGUUGCUUUACGAUUAUCCUUCGGGCCCGAUACAUAUUUAUAAAUUGUCAGGAAAUGAAAAGCCUUUUAAUGGCAUGCAAGAAGCAUGCAGAGCUACCGCGAGCAAGAACUGGAGGAGCAGGGGCGUGGGGAACAGAGCUGCCCGCCUGCAGCAUGUGGGGCUCACCUUGCUUCACUGGCAGGGAGGGGAGGGCAGAGGGUGCUGAGCAGGCUGUUGGAGUUAUUAGGAUGCGCAGCACUGACAUUUGUUUUCUGUUCUGCAGACGGUGUCUUCUGACAACUUGACGUUGCGCAGCAAGAAGCAUUAAAACUGAAAACCAAACCAGCAGUUGGCAGCUCCUUCUGAGACGGCACAUGGCUGCACACGGUACUGCCAACAUCCAAAGCCAAUCUCCAGAUCGUUUCUGAAGGCUGUUGAGGAGCUCCAUCGGUUUGGCUUUCACAUCUCCUACCAACAAAAACUAGGUUCAUCUGAGCACCAACUGGAGUUUUGGGAUCUUCUCACCAUCAGCCUCAGCCAAUAAUUGAGAAGUUUCCCUUGUGGAUUUCUUCAGUUUCACAGGAACCUGGAUGUUCACUCACUGUUCGCUCUUGCGUGGUGAUGUUUUCCAGCUGAUAGUAAAGAAAUGUCUCUGUCUGAUCAUGCAUCCCCUUGCACAGAGAGAAGUGAAGGAACUGAGCCUUGUCUCACUGGGGCAGGUCAGAGCAUGCUCUAUAACAACCUCUUUCUCUCUUCCCUUCCCACUCUUGGUUCCUGAGCUAUAGGUUGGUCUCGGGUUUUGUGUUGGACCUCACAGCUAGAGCUUGCUGAGUGCCCUCUGCCUGGACAGGAGUGGAUGUGCCAGACCUUAAGCUCCUCUCUUUUCUCCUCCAGGCCCUGGAUGGAAAUGCAGCAGUCCAGGCUGAAACCUACUGAGUCACCUUGUCUUGACGGGUCAGUCUAAACUUCUGUACUUGUAGCUCGAGGUUCCCAUUAACUGUGGGAACCUGUUGCCCUGAGCCAAGACCUGGGAGAAAGGGAGUGUCCCAGGGGAAAGAUGCUGAAGUCUGGAAAACUUGUGAAAGUUCUGAAGAGCAGCCUGGUCUGUAACAGAAAACUUCAGGGUGGAGUUCAGUCCUAGGUGCAGGUGUGUUACUGGGACGGACAAGCCCUUGGCAGAGGCCUGGGGUAGGAUUUCACAUGGUGUGAAGUGCUGCUCCGUGGAGCAGAGGGGCUGUUUUGCCCUUCAGGUUGCAGCCCCUUUACUCUCCUCCUGUUUCUGGGCUGUGCAUGGCUCCGUGCUCUGCCUGGCCCAUCGCCAGCGCUUUCAGCUGGGUUUUACAGCAGCCUGGGGCAUGAAUGGUGACCCAAAGCCCUUGUAUGUAGGUGGGAUCCCCAGGGCAGUGCCAGUGAGACACAGGCGUUGGGGACUUGGGGCUGGCUGGUGCGGGCAGUGUGGCAGCGAGUCUGCAGUGUGCCCGAUUUAUGGGCAUUUACAUGGGAGAUUGCUCUGAUCUGAUUUGCAUAUGCAGUCAUAGUAAUCGCGGGCCAAUUAAACUUGCAGUUCAAAAAAUCUGGACCCGAAACCUUUACAAUUCAUACAAACACACUAAUCUGAGUGUAUAUGUCACUUCAUCAAAUUCAUGAAACCAUAAAUUGUUGGUGUCUGGCACUGCCAGCUGCAUGCGGGAGUCACUGGGGCUGGGCUGGAGGAGCCAUCGGCCCCAUGCAGCGACGGGGGAAGAUAUUUUUUAUGAGCUCUUCCCUAUUCAUGGAUUGAAUCGGAACUGUUAGGAUGUCAGCGUGAGAUUCAUUGUGAUAUCUAUGGAAGAUUUAUCUUUACUCUUGCAUGUUUUUAAAAUGUUGUCCUGGA